rnacentral:rRNA from 1 species
CCUACGGGAGGCAGCAGUGGGGAAUUUUGGACAAUGGACGAAAGUCUGAUCCAGCCAUUCCGCGUGCAGGACGAAGGCCUUCGGGUUGUAAACUGCUUUUGUACGGAACGAAAAAGCCUUGGCCAAUACCCGAGGUCCAUGACGGUACCGUAAGAAUAAGCACCGGCUAACUACGUGCCAGCAGCCGCGGUAAUACGUAGGGUGCGAGCGUUAAUCGGAAUUACUGGGCGUAAAGCGUGCGCAGGCGGUUUUGUAAGACAGAGGUGAAAUCCCCGGGCUCAACCUGGGAACUGCCUUUGUGACUGCAAGGCUAGAGUGCGGCAGAGGGGGAUGGAAUUCCGCGUGUAGCAGUGAAAUGCGUAGAUAUGCGGAGGAACACCGAUGGCGAAGGCAAUCCCCUGGGCCUGCACUGACGCUCAUGCACGAAAGCGUGGGGAGCAAACAGGAUUAGAUACCCUGGUAGUCCACGCCCUAAACGAUGUCAACUGGUUGUUGGGUCUUUGCUGACUCAGUAACGAAGCUAACGCGUGAAGUUGACCGCCUGGGGAGUACGGCCGCAAGGUUGAAACUUCAAAGGAAUUGAGG